ACCUUCCAAAAAAGCACUC
rnacentral:miRNA from 1 species